UCCUUAUCAAGAGCCAGGGGAGGAAUUUGGUCCUAAGAUCCUGCGGCAACCUGUUAUGUAAAUAAUAAGGUGCACAUUCCAACAGACAUAUGUCUGAGAGAUGAGGA
rnacentral:ncRNA from 1 species